rnacentral:rRNA from 1 species
UACGGGGGGGGCAAGCGUUGUUCGGAAUUACUGGGAGUAAAGGGCUCGUAGGCGGCCCUCUCAGUCGGAUGUGAAAUCCCCAGGCUUAACCUGGGAAUGGCAUCCGAUACUGGAGGGCUUGAAUUCGGGAGAGGGAUGCAGAAUUCCAGGUGUAGCGGUGAAAUGCGCGGAUAUCAGGAGGAACACCGGUGGCGAAGGCGGGUCUCUGGGCCGAUACUGACGCUGAGGAGCGAAAGCGUGGGGAGCGAACAGG